ensembl:lncRNA
CAGACAGAACACAAAGCAGAGCGAUGUGAAGACCCACGUCGGGUGAAGAUAUCCUCACUCCCUCUCCCACUGAGCUCAAUAAACCAGUUUGUUCCUCUACACCGAGCGUCCUGCUCUGACCGGCCCGCCUCAUGUUUUGGAACUGCCACACUGUUCUCCGCGUUAUGGGGCGACUUUACCUCCCUUGGCCUUAACUCGAGGACCCUAUACACAAGCUCAAGAAGACAACGAAGAAGAAGAAGAAGAAGAAGAGUUUGGAACUUCAGGCUGGUGGAAGAGGCAAGUCUCGUCCUUCCCAAAGUCCCCGGGACAGUUAACAGCCCGACCAACAACCAGCUCUGCUCCCUCCGAUGGAUGAGAUAACUUCUACUUUACGUUUUGGGGUUUGGAAGGAGUGGCCGGUUUUACUGGACCGCAUAACGGUGGAGCACAUUAAUAUGACUCUCAUCGUCGUGUGGGUCCGCAGCCCAGACCCGCUGCUCCAGUCAGGAGCCGCGGUCGCUCAUUAGCCGCCCCGGGUCCUGGAGGUCAUGUUGUCUCUGGCAGCGCGAGCUGGGUCUCCAUCGGGGAGCGAGUCUCCAGCACACAACGUCUGCCCUGACCCGGCGGUCAGCCGCACGGUGGCCCGCUAAGCCUCCUCGGCGCUGGGGAGCCGCUCAGAGAGGGG